rnacentral:rRNA from 1 species
CGAUGCCGCGUGCGGGAUGAAGGCCCUCGGGUUGUAAACCGCUGUCGUAGAGGAGAAAGGUCUCGUGAAGAGCGAGAUUUGAUCUAUUCUAGGAGGAAGUCGGGGCUAAGUUGUGCCAGCAGCCGCGGUAACACGAACCCGACGAACGUUAUUCGGAAUUAUUGGGCUUAAAGGGUGCGUAGGCGGUGCGGUAAGUGAGGUGUGAAAGCCCUCGGCUCAACCGAGGAAUUGCGCUUCAUACUGCCGUGCUGGAGGGAGACAGGGGUAAGCGGAACUGAUGGUGGAGCGGUGAAAUGCGUUGAUAUCAUCAGGAACACCGGUGGCGAAAGCGGCUUACUGGGUCUUCUCUGACGCUGAGGCACGAAAGCUAGGAUAGCGAACGGGAUUAGAUACCCCGGUAGUCCUAGCCGUAAACGAUGAGCACUUGAUUGAGGGCCCCCCCAUAGGCUCUCGAUCGCAGCGAAAGUGUUAAGUGCUCCGCCUGGGGGUAUGGUCGCAAGGCUG